GUGGGUCUGUCUCAGCAGCAGUGCUGGAAACACGCAGAGUGAGCCUGGAAAGAACUAGGUCAUGGCUGCAGAACAGCGGCGUCCACACUCGGGGUGUGCUCUGCUCCUGGAGAUUCGGCUCACCCAGAGCGGACAGUCAGCUGGGGCUUGGUCCCGGCUACAAACGUCCAGGGCAAGGGCAUCCAGAAGGCCAGGCUCCAGAAGAGCAGCCUGUUUCGACUUCUUUCUCCCUGGAGUUUAGGGAGCAGAACUACAGAGGUCCGGCACUCUUUUCUAAUUUGCUAAGAAAACUAAAGAUUGAUUAUGAAGAGGAAAGGAAUGAUAAAGGAUUCCUUUAACCUGCAGAGGAGGAAACAGAUUUUCCAGCUGGAAAUCAGCAAGAACUCUGGGUCAACUCAGGUCUCAGUCUUCCCGUAGCAGGGAAGCUCUACUUGCUUUUGCUUGAGGUGCAAAGAUGAAAAGUGAGAAUGAAAAUGAGAAAAAAAUCAAUAGAACAGCAAGGUGAGAGUGGAAAAGCAGAAAGUGCCAUCUGACUGUGGUCUCUGGCACAGCCCUGUCUACCAAUGGCGGAGAGCUGCUGGGCAGCCCUGCUACAGAGCUCUUCUCCUGCCUCCAUGUGGCAGCUGUGACUCCCUGCCACGCUCCCCUCUAACCCUGGCAGAAGGUGUGGACUCCCUAAGCCCAGCCUGCCGUAGCGUUUGGGGCACCUCUGUUCCAUCUGUCCUAUGUUCCUGACACAUUGUCCUUGCUCCCAUUGUUCGCUGGUGACAUUCUAGACCUAAUCUUUAAGAUUCUACUCAGAGGUCACCUCCUUGCUAGCCUUACUCGAUUUCCCAGUUUGUCACAGUCUGUAAUGAAUGUCCCGGUCCCUGUGCCCUUAGGGCUCCUGUCAUACCCUGUUCAUCUUGGGCUGUCAGUGCCUCUCUCCCUCCCUUGCUGAUGGCCCAGGCCUGGAAAUACAUCUACUCAUUCCACUGGCCAUCAUGCUUGCUUUAAAGGGGCUCAAAAGGCUUUUAAAUUUGGAAAAAUACUACAGAAAAAAUAGUACCAGGAUAAAAGAAAAAAAGAUCA